rnacentral:lncRNA from 1 species
GGCUCUUCCGUAGAGUUUGCAGCCAGGGGCCGGCCCCGCUUGCAUUUCGCUUACCCGCCUCCAUAAACUGCUUUGGCUCCUGGUCUCGCAUCUCCCUGUGGCUCCCCGCAGAUUCCGCCCGGCCUUCCCUUCCUCCCGCAGCCACGCCCCGGCUUGGCUUCCAGCAGCCGUGGCAGCGCUGGCGUUUAGCCGUUGCCCAGAGACGACGCCCGAGAGGCGGUUUAGCUGACCACCUGGCGGGCAGCCGGCGCUCCUCUCCAGGAAGCAGGCGGUUCUCGAGCUCUCGCCGAGCGGACCGGUGAGGUGGCCGGGUCUCCAGGAGCAGCGUGUCCCGGUUCCGCGCCAGCCCCGGCUGGCAAGAGGCAGCCGGUGUCCCCGGAGGAGAAGCCCAACCCGCUGCAGGACGCGAACCUCUGCUCGCGCGCGUUUGUCUGGUGGUCCUGCCCAGGAGUCCUCUGGUCCUGAAACUGACAGGUCCCUAAGCUGGGAAGAAGCUUACAGGUGGAAAAUGGCUUGGAAAGGAGUCUUUCAAGGGAAGUUCUUCAAGUUCUUGCUGUUGGAGAUGAUGCAUGUGAAACAGUUGGUGAUGGACAGGGAGGCCUGGCAUGCUGCAGUUCAUGGGGUUGCAAAGAGUCGGACACGACUGAGCAACUGAACUGAACUUGGGUAUUUGCUUUCUUCCCAAAUUUCAUCUGCUUUCGAAACUUGUAAAUGAUGCCAGUAACUAACUUACUGACUUUUAUAAAAAUGACCUUGAAAUGGAAAGUGGGGUCUGGCUGCUCACCUCUCAAAAGCCAAUAAAGAAGCAAAGUUUGUGGAAAGGAAAGUUUGCUUUAUUUUGGAUGCUGUCACAGGGGUAUGGGGGAGGGCAGAUGCCAGUCCAAAGUCUCACUCCCUACCCCUGCCCCCUGACAAUCAGUGGGCAAGAACUUUUAUAGACCAAUGGCAGGGGCCCCAUGGAGAAACAGUACAGUCAGCUCUAAUAGUCAUCUUGAAAUUGGUCACUGGCAGUCUGACUAGUAUCAUCUUGAUUGUUUUAGGUACAGUUAAUCUUUGGGUCCAGGGCUGAUUUCUUCCCAUUUCCUUGAGGCAGUUCUCAAAAUUGUGGCAGCUUAUAUUAUAGCUAGAGCUUCCCUGGUGGCUCAGAGGUUAAAGCGUCUGUCUGCAAUGUGGGAGACCUGGGUUCAAUCCCUGGGUCAGGAAGAUCCCCUGGAGAAGGAAAUGGCAACCCAGUACAGUAUUCUUGCCUGGAGAAUCCCAUGCACGGAGGAGCCUGGUAGGCUGCAGUCCAUGGGGUCGCAAAGAGUUGGACACGACUGAGCGACUUCACUUACUUAUAUCAUAGCUAUAGUCUGGUCAUAGUAUAGUUAACUUCUUCCACCUGGUGGGGGUUUCAGUAUCUAUAAGACAGCUCACAGGAUAUGGUUCCGAAUAGGAGGAACUGAAGGAGGAACUAAGGGUCCUUGAAUUUGCUUACCAACUAAACUACUGUUGUUUUGUCCUGAUUGACUGUUUUCCUUUGCUUCUGCAUUUUCUCACUUCUCUGAUUAAACUUAUCCUUUGGCUAAAGUUUUCCUAUAGACAAAAGGCCAUUGGAGGACCUGGGGGGAAGGCACAUAGGGUCCUACUCCAUUUCAACCUCAUUGGGGUUUCAGUAUUUUCACAGUUCAGUUUGGACUUAAGGUCUAAGAGGAAUCAUACAUUAUGGCUAGUGGUGAUUAUAAAUUUUAGAAAAGAAUAAAUAUUUUUCUAUUUCUGUAAGAAAUUUAAAACUACAGCAGAAGAAAGGAAUAAGGAUUUCUAUUAGCCAAAUAUACUUGCCAAUAUUUGGUUGUUUCUUAGUCUUUCCCCUAGAAAUCUUUAUGCACACCUGCACACAACCACAUUCUUUUCUAUAAAACCAGACAGUUUUGAAUCCUGAAUCUUUAAUUUUCUGUGGUUUACAUUUAUUUAUGGGCAUUAAAUAGUCUUUGAAACAUGGCACUGUAAUUUGUCCACCCUUUCAUUUUUGUUUAACACAGUUUAUUCUAAUUAUGAUGUGAUGUGUAUCCAUGGCCAUGCUUCUGGUUCACUGUUCCUUUAUCUGUAUUCCCAGAACUAGGAUAACUGGUGAAAGGCCAUAUUGUUUUCCAUAGGGUUUGGAAUUUGCCCCCUUAAUAACUGUUUGUGUGCUUAUUUCACUGUCAACUUUGAGUUCCUGAAUUACAUUUUUUUUCUCAGUCUAAAGAUAAAAAUAAUAUCAACCAGUUUGAAUUUAUUUGACGUAGAGAGAUGGAACUUUUUGUGUCUACUGACCAUCUAUUUUUGGCAUUGCCUUUCUUUGGGAUAGGAAUGAAAAUUGACCUUUUCCAGUCCUGUGGCCACUGCUGAGUUUUCCAAAUUUGCUGGCAUAUUGAGUGCAGCACUUUCACAGCAUCAUCUUUUAGGAUUUGAAAGAGCUCAAGUGGAAUUCCAUCACCUCCACUAGUUUUGCUCUUAGUGAUGCUUCCUAAAGCCCAUUUGACUUCACAUUCAAGGAUGUCUGGUUCUAGGUGAGUGAUCACACCAUCGUGAUUAUCUCAAUUGUUAAGAUCUUGUUUGUAUAGUUCUUCUUUGUAUCCUUGCCACCUCUUCUUAAUAUCUUCUGCUUCUGUUAGGUCUAUACCAUUUCUGUCCUUUAUUGAGCCCAUCUUUGCAUGAAAUGUUCCCUUGGUAUCUCUAAUUUUCUUGAAGAGAUCUCUAGUUUUCCCAUUCUAUUAAUUUCCUCUCUUUCUUUGCAUUGAUCGCUGAGGAAGGCUUUCUUGUCUCUCCUUGAUAUUCUUGGGAACUCUGCAUUCAACAAAGGUCCAUCUAGUCAAAGCUAUGGUUUUUCCAGUAGUCAUAUAGGGAUGUGAGAAUUGGACUGUAAAGAAAGCUGAGUGCCGAAGAAAUGAUGCUUUUGAACUGUGGUGUUGAAGACUCUCGAGAGUCCCUUGGACUGCAAGGAGAUCCAACCAGUCUAUCUUAAAGGAAAUCAGUCCUGAAUAUUCAUUGGAAGUUCAGUUCAGUUCAGUCGCUCAGUCAUGUCCGACUCUUUGUGACUCCAUGAAUCGCAGCAUGCCAGGCCUUCCUGUCCAUCACCAACU